UGAGGAACAUGACCUUCGGCGGGGGAGUAGCCGGCCCAACGGCCGGGUAAUACCGCGUACGACCACUCGGGGACAUCCCCAGGUGGUGAAAGCAGCAAUGCGCCGAUGGAGUGCCUCGCGGCCUAUCAGCUAGUUGGUGAGGUAACGGCUCACCAAGGCGACGACGGGUAGCUGGUCUGAGAGGAUGGCCAGCCACAUUGGGACUGAGACACGGCCCAGACUCCGUACGGGAGCAG
rnacentral:rRNA from 1 species